UUAUUUGUUGUAAUACGAAAAAUGUUAUCUAUCUGCUUGAGUGUCCAUGUGGCCUCCAAUAUGUGGGGAUGACCACAAGGUGCUUAAAGAUAAGGUUAAGUGAACACUGCAGAAAUAUCAAAAAUGGGUACUUAAACCAUACAGUAUCCAAACAUUUUAUUAUACACAACAAAGAUCCACGCCUACUAAAAUGUAUAGGUAUAAAAAAAUGUUCUACCUCCUGGCGUGGAGGUGAUAUAAAAAAGCUGCUUGGUAAAACAGAGAUGGAAUGGGUGUAUAAACU